rnacentral:rRNA from 1 species
ACGAACGCUGGCGGCAUGGAUUAGGCAUGCAAGUCGAACGGUGACAGCAAUGUCAUAGUGGCGCAAGGGUGAGGAACGCGUGAGUGAUCUACCUUCAAGUUUGGAAUAGCUCCUGGAAACGGGAAUUAAUACCGGAUGUGAUUAUGAGGCUGCAUGGUCUUAUAAUUAAAGCAGCAAUGCGCUUGUAGAGGAGCUCGCGUCCCAUUAGCUAGUUGGUGAGGUAAUGGCCCACCAAGGCGAUGAUGGGUAGCUGGUCUGAGAGGACGACCAGCCACACUGGGACUGAGAACUGCCCAGACUCCUACGGGAGGCUGCAGUCGAGAAUUUUGGGCAAUGGACGAAAGUCUGACCCAGCAAUGCCGCGUGCGGGAUGAAGGUCUUCGGAUUGUAAACCGCUGUCGAGGGGGACGAAAUAUGACGGUACCCCUGGAGGAAGCCACGGCUAACUACGU